rnacentral:ncRNA from 1 species
UACAAUUCUGCUACACACAACAUAAGGGAUACCUUGGCUGACAAACCGAUGAAGGGCGUGGCAAGCUGCGAUAAGCUUAGGGUAGGUGCAAGCAACCUUCGAUCCUAAGACCCCCGAAUUGGAUUCCACCUCAUGUCCAAAAAGCAUGGGGAUCCUCAGUAGAGGAAGGGAACCCUCCGAACGAAAGCAUUCCAGUAGGAGGUGGAAAAGAAAGCAAUUGCGAUUUCCCUACUAACGGC